rnacentral:rRNA from 1 species
AACGAACGCUGGCGGCAGGCUUAACACAUGCAAGUCGAACGCAUCGCAAGAUGAGUGGCAGACGGGUGAGUAACGCGUGGGAAUCUACCGUGCCCUGCGGAAUAGCUCCGGGAAACUGGAAUUAAUACCGCAUACGCCCUACGGGGGAAAGAUUUAUCGGGGUAUGAUGAGCCCGCGUUGGAUUAGCUAGUUGGUGGGGUAAAGGCCUACCAAGGCGACGAUCCAUAGCUGGUCUGAGAGGAUGAUCAGCCACAUUGGGACUGAGACACGGCCCAAACUCCUACGGGAGGCAGCAGUGGGGAAUAUUGGACAAUGGGCGCAAGCCUGAUCCAGCCAUGCCGCGUGAGUGAUGAAGGCCCUAGGGUUGUAAAGCUCUUUCACCGGUGAAGAUAAUGACGGUAACCGGAGAAGAAGCCCCGGCUAACUUCGUGCCAGCCGCCGCGGUAA